CCUUUUUGUUGUUGUUGUUCUU
rnacentral:sRNA from 1 species